CGGUGAGCGGCCGGGUUUGCAGCGGCGCGGGGCUAACGUGCCACCGAACAACACAAUUAGCUGCUGACACACCAGGUGCUGCCUGUUUCCUGCCACGUUACACUUUUCACGUGCCAUGUAAUGGUGUUUGCAAAGUACUCCCCGGUCUUCAGUUUGCCAGCCUGCCCCCGCAGCCACCGCCCCCGCCGCCCCGCGUUCCUCCAGGCGGUCCCGGGGGACUCGCGGAGCUGCGUGCGGCUGGGCUGCAAAGGCGACUCCAGCAAGCGCAGCCUCCGCGCCCAGCUGUGGCCCAGCGACUGAACGCCUGCCACCAGGCACCGUUAAUUCCACUUGUAUGCUGCGGAUGAAGCCAAUCGGCGAUUUGCAUUCAUUUCUACAGCAACUCUAUGAACUGGUCCUGUGAUUCCCAUUUCACCAAAAGGGAAAAGUGGUACUCACCUUUGUGCAGCAGAGCCACGCAAGAUCAUCACCUUAAGAGAGUGGGUGCGAGCCUGAAAAUGAUGCUGAAAGUGAAGAAGGAAGCCCCUGCCCCUCCCAAAAUGGAAGCCAAAACAAAGACUUUGAAGGCCAAGAAAGUAGUGUUGAAAGGUAGAGGUAGCCACAGGCACGCACACAAAAAGAUCUGCAUAUCACCUACCUUCCCACGGCCCAAGACACUGCCUCUCUGAACACAGCCCAAAUAUUCUCAAAAAAGCACCCCCAGGGAAACAAGCUUGACCACUAUGCCAUCAUCAAGUUUCCCCUGACUACCGAGUCAGCCAUGAAGAAGACGAAGGCAACAACAGAUUUGUUUCAUUGUGGAUGUCAAGACCAGUAAGUACCAGAUGCAACAGGCCAUGAAGAAGCUCUAUGGCAUUGAUGUGACCAAAGUCAACAACCUGAUCAGGCCUGAUGGACAGAAGAAGGAAUAUAUUUGACUGGCUCUUGACUAUGGUGCUUUGGAUAUUGCCAACAAAAUUGGGAUCAUCUAAAAUGAGUCUAUCUGGCUAAAUUUAAAUACAGUUGUUUGUUUUUUUUUUUUACCAUAAGAAAUUCCAUUGUAGAUGUAUGUGUGUGUUUCUAUAUGUAUAAAUUAUAUAUUGUGUUAUACACAUAUAAAUACCUGUGUAUAUAUUUACACACAAAUAUGCAAAUAUUUAACCACAUACACAUAUCUAA